CUACACUCCAAUAAAGGAGGUCUUGAUUACAAGGGAAGAAAACCAAGCCAUGAAGGCUAAGCAAUUCGCUGCUACAAAAGCCAAGCGAAAACCAUAACAACAGAAAAUUACAAGAUAGAUACAGGCGAACAUACAACUCAAGCAAUAAACGAUAUCUUGGAGUCCAUGAACCUUGACAACCAUAGAGCAUAUGAGAUGAAACGACGCCUUGGGGAACAGAGAGCACAUAUAGUGAUCUGUUGGGAACAGAGAGCACAUGUAGUGGUCUGUUGUUCAUGAUUGAUACUGCAACUAGGGCAGAAAAUACAAUCCUAAUUCCGGCUAACAAUGCCUUUCUCUUUUCUAUUUUAAUCUUUGAGAGAGAGGAAGUCUUCUCCGAUGUUCCACUUUGGCUCCGGCAACGGCCAGCUUUUUUAGUGGUGUUGGUCAGCUUUACUCUAGCGUCGUUGGCUUUCUUAGCAACGUCGGCUAUUUUCUGAAUUUGUUUUUUGUUUUUCUUUCCUUUGUCUCUCUUUAACUUCAGUUUUCUUAAGUUUCAUUACUUUAAUUAGAUCCUUACAUAUGGGUGUGUAGUUCUUUGCUCCUCCUUUGCUUAAAGGGUUUAUUUUGUUCUUCAAACUUCUUGGUUUUAAUCAAUUAAGAACAAAUUGAAGUUGCAGAGCAAAGUCACGUUUAGUAUCUUUGGUUUUUUUGGAAGUAAUUAGGCUUAAUUUCUGGACUGAUGCUUUGGAUGAUUGAAUUUUUAUUCUCAGGUUUGAUGAAAGCAAAUCCCAAAUAUCUAAUUUUCCUUAUCGAUUGAAAAGCUUUUAACUGAAGAAGAAGAAGAAGAAGAUGAAGAAGAUUUACAGGUCUACAUCAAGUGGAGUCAUAAUCCAUCAAAACUCAAUUGAAAUUUCGCCUUGUUUCUUUGGGCGAAGAAGAUGAAUGACCUUCCCAACAAUUUCGGCUUGAAAGGAAGCUUCCAACGUCACUGCAACUUUCCGGUGAUCGGAGACUCCCUCAUCUUCAACUUCGCACGUGUCAUCCAUUCUGUUUUUCACUUGUCACGUGUGUCUACACUACCUUUCCUUCACGCUAAGGAUUUACAUUUAGGCAUUGGGCUUUUAUUUGUUGUUCCUUUACUUAAGGGUUUUCCUUGUUGGGUUUGGUUUUCAUUUUCAGAUCCAGUAGAAAAUAAUGGCCCAUGUUUGUUUUGGUUUACUCAUAACCAAACAUUGUAUGGUUUCUUUGGCUUAUUAAUAAUACUGAAACAUCAGUG
rnacentral:sRNA from 1 species